rnacentral:rRNA from 1 species
GCUCAGUAACACGUGGAUAACCUGCCCUUAGGUCCGGCAUAAUCUCGGGAAACUGAGGAUAAUUCCGGAUAGCUCUUUUUGGCCGGAAAUGCAUUAAGAGUAAAAGUAUCUCGCCUAAGGAUGGGUCUGCGGCCUAUCAGGUAGUAGAGGGUGUAACGCACCUUCCAGCCGACAACGGGUACGGGUUGUGAGAGCAAGAGCCCGGAGAUGGAUUCUGAGACAUGAAUCCAGGCCCUACGGGGCGCAGCAGGCGCGAAAACUUUACAAUGCAGGAAACUGUGAUAAGGAAACACCGAGUGCCCGCAUCUAAUGCGGGCUGUCCGCGUACCCAAAUCGUACGCGUCAGCAAGGACCGGGCAAUACCGGUGCCAGCCGCCGCGGUAAUACCGGUGGUCCGAGUGGUAGCCGCUUUUAUUUGGUCUAAAGGGUCCGUAGCCGGUCCGGUCAGUCCAUUGGUAAAUCCGCGCGCUCAACACGCGGUCUUCAGUGGAUACUUCCGGACUUGGGACCGGGAGAGGUAAGAGGUACUAUAGGGGUAGGAGUGAAAUCCUGUAAUCCUUAUGAGACCACCUGUGGCGAAGGCGUCUUACCGGAACGGGUCCGACGGUGAGGGACGAAAGCUGGGGGCACGAACCGGAUUAGAUACCCGGGUAGUCCCAGCCGUAAACUAUGCCCGCUGGGUGUCAGGCAUGGCAUGACUGUGUCCGGUGCCGUAGAGAAGUCGUGAAGCGGGCCACCUGGGAAGUACGGCCGCAAGGCUGAAACUUAAAGGAAUUGGCGGGGGAGCAC